GCUGUUUUCUUCGGUAAUUUUAUUUUCAGGUACUCGGGGUACUCGUACAUGUAGGUCAUGCUGCACCGGUUCUCCUCGUAAACGAACAGCACGUCCCGCACCCCCAGCAGCACCAGCGCCGCCAGAGCCCCGUAAAGCACCGCCGCCACCGCGGGCAGCCGGCGGCCAACGCGCCCCAUGACGUCCCGCCGCGCUGAGGUGCGGAGCGGCGCGGAGGCCGCCUCCCCCCGCGGGCCGUCCGCGCGCAGACACGGCGGGGCGGGGCGGGGCCGGAGCCGCCCGGGAGGCGGAGCGGGCGGCCGCCAUCUUGGGAAGGGCGGGCGCUGGGCCGGCGCUUCCGCACAGGUCCGCCCGCCAUGUCGCGGGCGUGGCAGUCACGGCGGGGAGUUGCGGAGCUACCGACUGGCUCCCACAGCCGGCGGCUGCAGCGGGCGGGGCAGCCGCCUGUGCCGUGACGGGGGGCCUUCCGCUCGGCGCCGCCUGCGGGAAAGCCCCAUCGUCCCGGCAUCCCUGGGAGCGGGACCGCCUCCCGUGCUUUAAACGAAGCGCUUGUAACUAACUUUCCGUGCGCGGACACCUCAGCAGCCGGCGGUUCCAGUCCCCGCGGGCCGGCGGGCACGCGGCCCCGACACAAGGCGCUGCAGCAGCCGCGGCGCGCACCGAGCGGGAACCGCGUGCAGGAGCGCCCUCGGAGCACCGCCCGAGUACUGAACGCUGAGGCGUUUUCCCCUUCUUUGAAUGAAUAAACAAACAAAAUUUACUCCGUUUUUCCAACAGUAUUUGUACCAUUUUUAUUUGUAAAAAUAACCAUCUGAAUGCAUAUCAAGAGUAGUUUACAGGUGGGGUUUCUCGUUACAUUAAUACAGCAUUCAGUAGUUGAAAGAAGUUAACAAACUGUGCUUGAGAAGGGGCGGUCUGAGGCCCUCAAUCCUGCCUCGGGGAUACGGGACGCCGAGCCGAGGGCCGCCAUUUACAAAAGGAAACAAUACCGACAAAACCCCACCGAAACGAUGCAACAACAUCUCAUAUCGUUUAUUACAAACGUUAUGCAAAAUAUAACACUGGCACCAGAUUCGUAUCACCGUGGGUUGUAAGCAUAGAAUAUGAGACAGAACCUACAAAACAUGAGAUAUUGGCUUUAAUAUGUGGUCACUGCAUACAAACGCAUAAAGUCACGUUUACACACACACUCGGAUUGUCACUGGUUUCAAACGCCCUCUCCUAUAACACUGACCUAAGGUUUACUCUGUGUAAUAAGAAAGCCUUUUCAGCACUGCAAAAAGUAUGCGUUAUUCCUAUAGAAAUGUAGCAUAUUGAUCUUCAUUUCAAUGCAGGUAGAACAUACGAAAAGAAACACUCUGUACGUUCAAAGGAGGUUUGAAAUGAAAACUUACAGGUGACGUAUUGCUUCUGUAACACUCACGUGAAAAAAAGGACAACUUCCACAAAACAUUCCCAUCAUACGCAAAUAUAAAAAGGCACUCUAAUAUUUCUUACAGGACUAAGGAUAAAAAUCACAACUUUUUUUCAUCAUCCUCAAGAUACACAAUCGAGUUUCUCAACAGUACAAUGGAUAAACGGGUUCAUUUCAUGUGUUUGUUCUCCUUUAAUCAUCUGGCAGUGGUUUACUGCAUCAAAGUACCAAACACAUCGUGGUGCCCUUUUAGUAGCGAUGAACAGAAAUCCCCUGAGCUAUUUCACAGCAAUUCAGGCAGUCCGGAGGUUGUAACUCAGUAUCUAUGAGAGAGACACGGACCCAAUCCCGCCAUGGAUUCCACCUGCAACUGUGGUUAAAACACAGGAUGGGACCAUCCUGCUAAUAAAGCUGGGCAGGCUGCUGCCCCUCCCAAACACUCGCUGUUUGGUGCAGACGCAGCAGUAGUCCACAUGCUGCAAAUUGCAGGAUCCGGGGUUAAGUGCAACAAUCACGUGUGAUUAACUCUACUCUUGUACAAUGUCCACAGAAAGGCAAGGUAAUUAUUUACAAGAGUAAAAUUAUUCCAAUGCUCAAAUACCU
rnacentral:lncRNA from 1 species